UUUUGUAGAGCUUGUUAAAGUUUUUUAUUUACAUUAAAAUUAACUAUAUUAUUAUAGUGCAGAAA
rnacentral:tRNA from 1 species